CAGUCGCCGCGGUAAUACGCAGGGUGCAAGCGUUAAUCGGAAUUACUGGGCGUAAAGCGUGCGCAGGCGGUUCUAUAAGACAGAUGUGAAAUCCCCGGGCUCAACCUGGGAACUGCAUUUGUGACUGUAGAGCUCGAGUACGGUAGAGGGGGAUGGAAUUCCGCGUGUAGCAGUGAAAUGCGUAGAUAUGCGGAGGAACACCGAUGGCGAAGGCAAUCCCCUGGACCUGUACUGACGCUCAUGCACGAAAGCGUGGGGAGCAAACAGGAUUAGAUACCCCCGUAGUCCCUGUCUCUUAUAU
rnacentral:rRNA from 1 species